GGGGCGGAUACGGCGGUGCGCCGCGCGCGGCACCGCCGAUGCCGCCGGCCGGCGUUCAACCGCCGCCGCCGCGC
rnacentral:tRNA from 1 species